UGGAUAAACCAAUCCAUCAGAAUUACUAAACUUCUGCUUUUUAAAGGAGUCGGUGGAGUCUAGACAGCGUAAAGACAACGUCAGGGAGUUCCACAGCCUUGGUCCUAGUGCCUGAAAAGCCCGAUCCCCAUGUGUUUUAAACCUAGUAUGUUUCAGAUCCACAUAACCAGAACGGUUAUGUUGGAUCUGAAGGUUCCAGUGAGCACUGUUGGGGCAGGAGAGAACAUAAUUUCA